rnacentral:tRNA from 1 species
GCCUGGGUGGCUCAGUAGGUUGGGCGUCUGACUUCGGCUCACAUCAUGAUCUCAACAGUUCGUGGGUUUGAGCCCCGCAUUGGGCU